rnacentral:rRNA from 1 species
GCAAGUCGACGAGGUCCAUUCGGUAGCNAUUCCNAGGAAGCCUAGUGCGAACGGGUGAGUAACACGUGAGAACCCUACCCCGAAGUCCGGGAUAACUCGAGGAAACUCAAGCUAAUACCGGAUACCUUCACGAGAUCGCAUGGUCAUGUNAAGAAAUGUUUUUUCGCUUUGGGAGGGUCUCGCGGCCUAUCAGCUUGUUGGUGAGGUANCGGCUCACCAAGGCAUCGACGGGUAGCUGGUCUGAGAGGACGAUCAGCCACACUGGGACUGAGACACGGCCCAGACUCCUACGGGAGGCAGCAGUGGGGAAUCUUGCGCAAUGGGCGAAAGCCUGACGCAGCAACGCCGCGUGGGGGAUGAAGGCUUUCGGGUCGUAAACCCCUUUCAGCAGGACGAAAUUACGGUAC